UACAGAGGUCCCAAGCGUUGUUCGGAUUCACUGGGCGUAAAGGGUGCGUAGGUGGCCGGGUAAGUUUGAUGUGAAAUCUCGGAGCUCAACUCCGAAACUGCAUUGAAUACUAUUUGGCUGGAGGGUCGGAGGGGGGACUGGAAUUCUCGGUGUAGCAGUGAAAUGCGUAGAUAUCGAGAGGAACACCAGUGGCGAAGGCGAGUCCCUGGACGACUCCUGACACUGAGGCACGAAAGCUAGGGGAGCAAACAGG
rnacentral:rRNA from 1 species